rnacentral:rRNA from 1 species
ACUACGGGUGGCAGCAGUGGGGAAUAUUGCACAAUGGGGGGAACCCUGAUGCAGCGACGCCGCGUGAGCGAGGAAGUAUUUCGGUAUGUAAAGCUCCAUCAGCAGGGACGAAAAAAGACGGAACCUGACCAAGAAGCCCCGGGCAACUACGUGCCAGCAGCCGCGGUAAUAUGGAGGGGGCAAGCGUUAUCCCGAUUUACUGGGUGUAAUGGGGGCGUAUACGGGAGCGCAAGUCUGAAGUGAAAUGACGGGGCUUAACCCCGGAACUGCUUUGGAAACUGGGCAGCUAGAGUGCAGGAGAGGUAAGUGGAAUUCCUGGUGUAGCGGUGAAAUGCGUAGAUAUUAGGAGGAACACCAGUGGCGAAGGCAGCUUACUGGACUGUAACUGACGUUGAGGCUCGAAAGCGUGGGGAGCGAACAGGAUUAGAUACCCUUGUAGUC